CCGCCGCCGCCACCCAACUCAGCCUCGCCCCUCACCGGAUCCCAUCCUCGCUGCUCGCCAGCUACCCUGCGCCGCCUCCUUCUCACAGGUCGAUUCCCCUACAGCCGCCGCACUCCCGCGCCCCCAGUCGCAAACCCUAGGGCUCCCCUGCCGGCCGGCGUCGACGACGAACCAGAAUGCACUUGCUUGGCAUCUGCUCCUUCUCCCCGACCUCCUAUGUGAAAGUAUGCCCCCUCCUCGUUGGUGGUCCGGUCCGGGGACAUGGAGGCCGACCUGCUGCUCACCUCCGACAUCAACGACGACGACAGCCUGCUUCUGGCCCACCCGCCGCUUGCCGGCAUCCUCCUCUUCUCCGACCACCAUGCGCGAUCUGGCCUCCCUGGCUUGGGAUCCAUCGACUCCCUGAUCGACAUGGACAAGCAGCAGUGGCCGAGGCUCCAGCCAGCGCGGGAGAUGGAGGCCCUCGUCCACGGCUCCGAUCCAUCCGCCUCAAGCUCACCCGUAUUCGCUGGGGAUGUCAUUUGAUCCACAUGUACUGCAUAUCAACCAGGGAGCACCGCGGCACGGCAGCUGGACCAUGACGGAGCGAUGUGGCCGCCAACAAGCUCUGGCCCUGGGACCUUGAUGGACCCCGGCGUCCUUGGGGCCUGGACCGUCUGCAAGCGCCACGAGUUCAACCUGAAACCAACCAGGUGAAUUCAGAGAACCAGAUUGAGCAGGAGCAGCUCAUCAGCUGGUGGCAACCACAGUGCCGCUCAUGCUAGCGUUGACACCACGCUGCACACCCUAGUGCUCGGGCCUCUCCGCCGCCUAGACUGACAGCUGGGAGGCGUGCAAAUUACCCCUGCCCCACAGUAGAUGUAGCUGGCCAACAAGCUGCAACCCUGGGACCCUCGCCGGUGCCAUUGAAGUCUGCACCAUCCGCAAGUACAUAUGGGUAUCGUGGAUGUCUCCGCCUCCGGCCGCAUUCCCGUCUCCAAGUCGGCAUCUACCGCCAACCUAGAGUUUGAUGGCAACAGUUGUAUGGGUGUUCUGUUGGUGGGAGACGGAUAUAUUGAGCAGUCAAUCAGCGGGUGCCAACCACAACCAUGAUCUUGGCGCUGACACUGUCGCUGCACCAUGUGCCCUCCUACUUGCAACCCCGCCCUGGCCUAGUUGAUGAGCCAAGGUCGUCUGAAGCUUGGGGUUGCCAUCCACCCUGUGGCGACUGGGCACCCUCGUCCCCACGAAGGCUUUCACAAUGCCUCGGCUCCGUCUUCACCAACAACAAGGCCACGAGAAAGGGGACCUAUGCUUAACACGGCAUUGUUGGGAGAUGCACGAUGUCUUUAGAAGAUCCUCUUUCCAAAACCCAAGCUGGAGAGAUUCAGUGAGGAACCCACAUCCAUGAUGUAACUUACGUCUCCGGCGUUGUGAGUCGUGGCCUACUGAGCUUUCCGUUAGUCCUGGAUGGACCUCGGCUUCGCCUACUUCCUGCUUCGCCUCUGCCCUGGCUGCAUGGUUUAGGUGUAGCCGAAUGCACAAAAGCUUUUGGAGCACCACAGGAAGUAUGAAAGGCUACGUUAGACAGAAGAAAAUAAACUUGAGCGUGUCCGGCUUUGUCUGCGUGUUGAGGCACAUGCUAUUUUCGUACUAAAAUUCCCACUCCUGGUAGUAGCAUUCUGGGUGUACUAUUUUUCACGGGGCUUCUCACGCAAGGUGGAAUAUCUGGCUUCGCUGGAGGAAUGUGUGGUGGUAUACUUCGAGGUGGAGGUUCUCCCGGUACUAUCGGAACCUGACCUGAUGAUAGCAUUUGGUGAUCAUGCGGUCAUGUCGGCUCUUCAAGAUGGUAUGGCUUCCCUCAAAUAGUUGCCCGCUUCUUUUAUGGUGCAAUUCCCUUGUUAUUGUAAAAAAAUAUGAUAGGCUGGCUGUUGGAUACCCUCUUUAUAGUUCUAACUUUUUUGACAUCUUGUGUAGUUAGUACAUGAUGCAUGGUCACGUGUUUCUUCAUUUUUAUGGCUGAUUUGGCUUAGUAUAUCCAACUUAUAUAUAUGGGGGCCUGUAAAUUGUAGCCAAUUAAUGGGUAAGUUAGAAUCAGUAAAGUGCAAUUCAAAUAAGUCAGGGGAUGAUAUGUUUGAGCAAGUACCUUGUGCGCACGAUGGCAUAUGAAGCAUUUGUUGCAUCCAUAAUAUUUUGUAUUCAUCUGGGACCUCUCUAGCUAGUUAUCUUCAUCUGGAUCCUGCCUACAUUGUGUUGGUAGCUGCAAAAAGGAAAAACCUGUGUUCCUACUAGCCGAGAAGGAGCAAUUGUCAAGCCACUCAUCUGAAGAUGGAGCUUCCCAGGAGGCACAACUGGUGGAAUUUUUGGGUUUCCUGGAGGAAUUGGUGGUGGUACAUCUGGAUACCAGUAAUAUCCUGAAUGUAAGCACUUGGCCACUACAUGACAGCAUUUGCUGACCCUGAGGUCAUGGAGGCUCUUCAAGAUGGUGUAGCCGAAUCCACAAAAUAUUGUGGAGCACCGCAGGAAGUAUGAAAGUUUACAGUAGACAGAAGAAAAGAAAUUAGAGCGUGACCAGCUUCGUCGGCAUGUCGAGGCAGAGUACGAUUAUAACAAGGCUAAUAAGGAGCAGUUGUGAAGCCGCUCAUCUAGAGAUGCAUCUUCCAGGGGCUUCUCAGGAGGCACGCCAGGUGGAAUGCCUGGCUUCGCUGGAGGAAUGGGUGGUGGUAUGCCUGGAGCUGGAGGAGCUCCCGGUCCCGAUGUCAGCAUUUGGUGACCUUGAGAUCACUGGCUCUUCCAGAGGGUGACAAAGGAGGUGAGCCGGUGGCGGUCGGAGGCGAUGGAGUAGCACGUUGGCGUGCCCCUCUUGAAGGUGCGAACUUGAGCUGGACGCCGGAACAGGCUGGCCGGACAUGCUUUUGUUUGUGAUGUUGCUUGCAGUCGGUUAGGUCAAAUGCUUCCCUAGCUUAUUUGAUGUCCUAGACCUGAUGCAUUGGCUCCAUAAUUUUAGGUUUAUAAGCUACAUGUAGAUAUGUUUCUUUUGUAUGUUGGCAAGCUAAACUAGCUCUGUCAAGUUGUCUUAGUCCAUGAAUUGUGUUUGAUACAUAAAAUACUAGUAUUUGACAAUGUUUCAAGUUAA